rnacentral:tRNA from 1 species
GGCGAAUUAGCUCAGUCGGUUAGAGCAGAGGAAUCAUAAUCCUUGUGUCUGGGGUUCGAAUCCCUGAUUCGCCACCA